UACGGAGGGGGCUAGCGUUGUUCGGAAUUACUGGGCGUAAAGAGCGCGCAGGCGGUCGAUCAAGUCGAGUGUGAAAGCCCCCGGCUCAACUGGGGAGGGUCAUUCGAUACUGAUCGACUCGAAGGCAGGAGAGGGUAGUGGAAUUCCCGGUGUAGUGGUGAAAUGCGUAGAUAUCGGGAGGAACACCUGAGGCGAAGGCGGUUCUCUGGGAAUGUCCUGACGCUGAGGAGCGAAAGUGUGGGGAGCGAACAGG
rnacentral:rRNA from 1 species